rnacentral:rRNA from 1 species
CGGGUGGUAAUGCCGGAUGUUCCACAUGAUCGCAUGUGAUUGUGGGAAAGAUUCUAUCGGCGUGGGAUGGGGUCGCGUCCUAUCAGCUUGUUGGUGAGGUAACGGCUCACCAAGGCUUCGACGGGUAGCCGGCCUGAGAGGGCGACCGGCCACAUUGGGACUGAGAUACGGCCCAGACUCCUACGGGAGGCAGCAGUGGGGAAUAUUGCACAAUGGGCGCAAGCCUGAUGCAGCGACGCCGCGUGAGGGAUGGAGGCCUUCGGGUUGUAAACCUCUUUUGUUUGGGAGCAAGCCUUCGGGUGAGUGUACCUUUCGAAUAAGCGCCGGCUAACUACGUGCCAGCAGCCGCGGUAAUACGUAGGGCGCAAGCGUUAUCCGGAUUUAUUGGGCGUAAAGGGCUCGUAGGCGGCUCGUCGCGUCCGGUGUGAAAGUCCAUCGCUUAACGGUGGAUCUGCGCCGGGUACGGGCGGGCUGGAGUGCGGUAGGGGAGACUGGAAUUCCCGGUGUAACGGUGGAAUGUGUAGAUAUCGGAAAAAAAACACC